CCCUGUCGUGCAUGCCGAAUGAAUGAGGUGCCUGCACACGCACGCCUUUCGGUUUAAGUCUCUUCUUCUUCGCAUGUGCCGGCCGCCAACCACCACUAAUCUCCGUACUACAAGCAAGCUACGCCGUCGCUUUCUGGACAGGUGGAUGGAUGGCUCGAGGCAACAGUUCAUGCACAAGGUGGUCAUUAUGUCUGGGAGAUGGGCCGGCGGUACGUACGCGUGCAGGGUGCGUGCACAGCAUCAAAUCUGGCUGCUUCAUGAGAGGAGAGGAGAGCGGCUGCGGUAUGGUUUGCGAGUGCGACGUCGAUCGACACUCAUCAUUCAUUUUCUUGGCCUUGGAGGAAACAUGGAGGCGAAGAACAAGUCCACGAGUGCGUGCGUGCAUGCGUGCGGGCUUGCAGCGGUUGCUGUCCGGGCGGCUGACUCCGCCCACCCUCCGCGCCGCGGAUCCAGGGGAGAUUAAGUAAACGCAGGCUUGACUUUAUUUACCGGCCGGCCUAAUUCAACAGACUGUUCGGAAGUGCAUGGGUUCGUUCAAACCACAUGCUUUCCUGAGGUCAAAUGUUUUGGUGACCUUGCACGUACGUAUAUUGUACGUGGCUGAAAAGCUCUUGUACGCGUACGGUGCUCCUCGCGUUGCACGGUGAUGCCAUUGUGGUCUUGCAAUAUCCAAACUAUAUUAUGCAUUGUCUUCA